UAUUUUCUUGUUCACACAUUCCAAUCAACUUUAAUUUUCUUUUUCUUCUAUUUUCUUCUCUGUUCUCUCUCCGUCUCUCCCUCCCAUAACCCUUUUCUUCUCGAUCUGGAGCAAGAAGCAGAAACAACUCGAGUUUCAUCCUCGGUCUCAAUCCAUCGUCUCUUGCUUCCUGAAGAUGUUACGGCGAGGCCGAUCCCCAUGUCAAGUCACUGUUCUCUUGCAUCAAGCAGAAGAAGAAGAGGCUGACUAGCUCUCUGUCAAAAUUUCACAGAUUUUCUUCACAUUGAAAAUCCCUAUGUGAUUGGGUCUAUUUGAUAUCUCAUUGAAAAUCCUCGACCUCAACUCCUCAAUCCUCACUAGCGGCGCCAUCUUAUCUUCUUAAUUCCUGUUUUUCGACUUCAGAGAUUGAAGAAGACUCGGUGUUCUUUUCUCCUCCAUAGCCAAGGUCCAGAUCGAUGGCCAAGGUCCAGAUCGGUUGAUGUAAUUAUUUCCUCUUCUUUGGGUUAUCGGAUUUAAACGAAAUCCGAGUAUGGUGCCAUGGUGGUUGAAGUCUGAGCACGAUCUCCGCCGCCACAGCAAGGACUAGAUCGAUUUAUUUUUCUGAGAUAUUGGGUAUGAUGAUGCAUGAAGACUCGUACUUGAUCUUCUGGGAUAGUUUCUUUGCCUAGUUUUUGUUGGGAUGGGGAAAUUACGAUUGGGGCUGGAUUGGCUUCAUACCCAGUUGACACAGUGCGCAAAAGGGUGAUGAUGAUGUUUGAUAUUUAAUUUCAUAUUAUUUCGCUGUCUGGGAAUGCCUGAAAAAUCGUAGCUUUGAGAUAGACGAAAAUUUCAUGCUUUAGGCAAGAGGAGUUCUCUUCAGAAACCCUGAAAGCUGAGUACAUUGGACACUUGGUGCCAGAGGAAGUAGUCAAGCUGGAAUUUGAUGGUUCGAAGGAGGUCAAAAGGGACUGGGGAUUAACUCUUAAAGAGGUCAUAUUUCCUUGUUUUACCAAGUUUCAUGUUUGUGCUAUUUUCUUAAUCGUUGAAUGUCCAGUGGCUGCUGUUGAAUAAAAGAACUGAAUAUUAAAUAGCUUGUUUAGGUAGAGAGAAUUUUGUAUGACAUAUGAUUGAGAUUAUUAGGUAUGAUGAAUUGGGUUGAAGGUUGGGUUUUGGAACUGGACGGAGGUGCUGAUCAAAAGAUAGAAGGCAAUAAUGCUAGUGCUGAUGAUGCAAUCAUGCUUGACAAGGAUGACUAUGUAUCUGAAACAAAUGCUACGAACAUUCUGCUGGUAAAUAUCCUUACUUUCCUGGCCAAGAACCCACUUUGCCUGGGGAUAUCGAUUUGUUGCUUCAGGUAGAAGUACACAUAUUUCAAGUGUAGUUGCCCUUUGAGAAAUUGGUGAAUACAGCAUGCUAUAAAUGUCAAGAGCAGUUGCUAUUCUCCAUUCCAUAUACUCUGGUUUAGCUAGUCUAAAGCAACCUGUGUUAUCUUUUUUUUUUCCCCUAAGCUUACUUGUUUGAGAAUUUAUUAAUAAAAUUUACAAUGACGGAAGUAUUGUAGAUUGGAUAUUUUUGAUUUUAUUAAUUCAGAGUUACAUAGUAAUAGAAUUUUAUCAUAGUGAGGUGUAA